ACCCGCUGAACUUAAGCAUAUCAAUAAGCGGAGGAAAAGAAACCAACAGGGAUUGCCCUAGUAACGGCGAGUGAAGCGGCAACAGCUCAAAUUUGAAAUCUGGCUCUUUUAGAGUCCGAGUUGUAAUUUGCAGAGGGCGCUUUGGCUUUGGCAGCGGUCCAAGUUCCUUGGAACAGGACGUCACAGAGGGUGAGAAUCCCGUACGUGGUCGCUGGCUAUUGCCGUGUAAAGCCCCUUCGACGAGUCGAGUUGUUUGGGAAUGCAGCUCUAAAUGGGAGGUACAUUUCUUCUAAAGCCAAAUAUUGGCCAGAGACCGAUAGCGCACAAGUAGAGUGAUCGAAAGAUGAAAAGCACUUUGGAAAGAGAGCCAAACAGCACGUGAAAUUGUUGAAAGGGAAGCGCUUGCAGCCAGACUUGCUUACAGUUGCUCAUCCGGGCUUUUGCCCGGUGCACUCUUCUGUAGGCAGGCCAGCAUCAGUUUGGGCGGUAGGAUAAAGGUCUCUGUCACGUACCUCUCUUCGGGGAGGCCUUAUAGGGGAGACGACAUACUACCAGCCUGGACUGAGGUCCGCGCAUCUGCUAGGAUGCUGGCGUAAUGGCUGU
rnacentral:rRNA from 1 species